rnacentral:rRNA from 1 species
AUGUGUGGCCUGAUGCAUGAUUUUGCACGGCUAGUUUCAAGAACUGAGUGUGGAGCUUUGGAUGGUUUGCAGCACAAUGACAUUUUGCCAACUGUACACCAUUUAUCUAUAGCAACCAAUUUUGUAUAUAGGAGGGAUGGCCAGACUGAGAACAUACCUCGUAGUGAGAAGUUUGAAUUUUUCUUGCAAAAUAUAGUCACACCAGUGAGAAAGUUGAGGACAUUGGUGUUGAUUGGGAAAUAUGACUCCUUUUUCUUCAACACAUUCCAAGAUGUGUUUGAAAAAUCACAUAAUCUGCGUCUGCUGCAAAUGUCUGCAACAUCUAUUGAUUUUAAAUCUUUCUUAUGUAGCUUGGUAAAUCCUACACGUCUCCGGUAUCUAAAACUUGAGGAUGAUAAUGCUGAGCAGCAACCUUUGCCUCAUGUUUUGAGCAAGUUUUUCCAUCUUCAGGUAUUGGAUGUUGCUUUCUUUAUGUCAUUGCAUACAGUUCAUCUAGACGAUUGCGGAGAAGGGGAGAUACUUUCAUCUCUGGAAAUGCUUCGGUUUCUGAAAAUAUUGAAGUUGAGAAACAUGCGGACUGCAACAAAAGUAUCGUUUCCAUCAUUGGAGGAGCUUGUUUUAUAUAAAAUGUCAGAUUUACGGAGAUGUUCUUGUACUUCCGUGGAUGAUAUGAAAUCUAGUUUAAGGGUGCUGGAGAUCCAGAGUUGCCCUGCACUUGAGGUGUUUGAUCUAUUUCAGAAAGUUCAUAGCUACAAAAGUGAGUAUAAGUCAUGGUUGCCCAAUCUGAGGAAACUUAUUAUGCGCAACUGUCCUCAUCUGCAAGUACAGACCCCCCUUCCACCUUCAGCCAUAUUUUGUAAACUAUCAAUUAACGAGGUUUCACCAAUUAUGACAAUGGAGGGAUCUUCCAUGGAAAAAUUAGAGUUUAGCGGAUAUAAACUUUUGUGUGAUACACUUCAUGACAAAAUUUUGGCAUUCCAUAAUCUUAAGGAUAUCAAAUACUUGGAGAUAUUGAAUUGCUAA